CUGCUACUCCCUCUGAUCCAUAUUAGUUGUCACUCAAAUGGAUGUAUCUAGCACUAAAAUACAUCUAGAUACAUCCGUUUCAGCUACAACUAAUAUGGAUCGGAGGGAGUAGUAG
rfam:Triticum aestivum genome assembly, contig: Triticum_aestivum_CS42_TGACv1_scaffold_224719_3B